rnacentral:rRNA from 1 species
CCUACGGGAGGCAGCAGUGAGGAAUAUUGGUCAAUGGGCGCGAGCCUGAACCAGCCAAGUAGCGUGAAGGAUGACUGCCCUACGGGUUGUAAACUUCUUUUAUAAAGGAAUAAAGUGAGGCACGUGUGCCUUUUUGUAUGUACUUUAUGAAUAAGGAUCGGCUAACUCCGUGCCAGCAGCCGCGGUAAUACGGAGGAUCCGAGCGUUAUCCGGAUUUAUUGGGUUUAAAGGGAGCGUAGAUGGGUUGUUAAGUCAGUUGUGAAAGUUUGCGGCUCAACCGUAAAAUUGCAAUUGAUACUGGCAGUCUUGAGUACAGUUGAGGUAGGCGGAAUUCGUGGUGUAGCGGUGAAAUGCUUAGAUAUCACGAAGAACCCCGAUUGCGAAGGCAGCCUGCCGCAGCGUUACUGACGCUGAAGCUCGAAAGCGCGGGUAUCGAACAGGAUUAGAUACCCGGGUAGUC